GGCGUGCCUAAUACAUGCAAGUCGAACGAAUCUUCUUCGGAAGAUGAGUGGCGAACGGGUGAGUAAUACAUAGGUAACCUGCCCCUGUGCGGGGGAUAACAGGAGGAAACUCCUGCUAAUACCGCAUAGCCAUGAGCACCGCAUGGAGCUCAUGCCAAAUAUCCUUCAGGGGAUAGCGCAGGGAUGGACCUAUGGCGCAUUAGCUAGUUGGCGGGGCAACGGCCCACCAAGGCAACGAUGCGUAGCCGGCCUGAGAGGGCGGACGGCCACAUUGGGACUGAGACACGGCCCAGACUCCUACGGGAGGCAGCAGUAGGGAAUUUUCGGCAAUGGGGGAAACCCUGACCGAGCAACGCCGCGUGAGCGAAGAAGGCCUUCGGGUCGUAAAGCUCUGUUGUAAAGGAAGAACGUCGCAUGCAGGAAAUGGUGUGCGAGUGACGGUACUUUACCAGAAAGCCACGGCUAACUACGUGCCAGCAGCCGCGGUAAUACGUAGGUGGCGAGCGUUAUCCG
rnacentral:rRNA from 1 species